UACGGAGGGGGCUAGCGUUGUUCGGAAUUACUGGGCGUAAAGCGCACGUAGGCGGCUUUGUAAGUCAGAGGUGAAAGCCUGGAGCUUAACUCCAGAACUGCCUUUGAGACUGCAUCGCUUGAAUCCAGGAGAGGUGAGUGGAAUUCCGAGUGUAGAGGUGAAAUUCGUAGAUAUUCGGAAGAACACCAGUGGCGAAGGCGGCUCACUGGACUGGUAUUGACGCUGAGGUGCGAGAGCGUGGGGAGCAAACAGG
rnacentral:rRNA from 1 species